UGCACUGUGAUAUUCAAAGAGGUCACUGUGUACUCAGUGUAACUGUGGCCUUUCUGAAUAGAAUAAUGAU
rnacentral:pre_miRNA from 1 species